UAGGAAGAAGACAUCGAGCGUGCUGCCACGAUGUGGCUAUCGCGUGUGCAAGUGUGUACGUGCGUGUAACGUAGUGGUCUAUCAAUUUCGCGGGCCCGGACGUUUACGAGUAGGUCGUAAAAGCGGCGUAAUAGGCGCACACGGUCGUAUAUGCCGUCGCCGGGUGGCCAGGAAAUUCGAUCGAGCGCGAAGGGUUUUACGUAAGUCACGAGGUCCUUCAAUCGUCCUCUGCGUGUCGCAGCGUUCUUUGCAGAACGUUACAGUACGGUAGACAUAACCUCGAAACACAUCCUUCGAAACUGACAUUCGCUCUAAUAGCGAGAUGUCGCGAAUGUACGAAACAUCGAGAAGUAAGUUGUUCGUCUUACUUUACGUUCUCGUCUACCAGUUAUUGCACGCUGGAUACGGCCGGAUUCGCAGCAGGGAGGUUAGAAAUGAUGGUCAUUCAAUUUCUACGAAUCAAGAUCUCAGUUUUACUGUUGCACAAUGUUCAUUGGGAUUAUGCUACGUGAUUUGACUCGUGAUUAUGUUUAAUAGGUUAUGAGGGAUUUGAGUACAAGAAUUUUGAAAUAAGAAUUUGAUCUGGCGUAAUUGAAACAAACAAUAUCUGUGCAGCCGCUUAGGCAAAUAAAGAAAAGAACAGAGGCAUAAUUUCCCCACAUUUCCUCAGCUCUGCUGCUUUAUAUUCAUUAUCCGUGCUCUCCACCAACGCAACGAUAUCGAAAUCCUCGUUACAGCCUCUGCAGCGUCAAAUUGAAACGCUCGACGAAAGUAAAAGUGAAAUAAGAGCAAAAGUAAAUUGAAAAAGCUCCCUCCACUUUCCAUGGGGUGUAAAUUCAAUACGCGGAUAUAUUUAUGAGCGAAACUCAACGAUCUUGAAGUAAAACAUAAAAAUAAUGUUUUGGUCAUAUUGAUACGACAAAUUGAGACACAAACGUAACCUAAUCUAAAUACGUAUUUCCUUUUCCUAUUUAUCUUUGUUAUGUAAUCAAAUACAUUAUUUAUGACUUAUUAUUGUGUAACUAUAUAUUCCUUCGACUAUGUCUUACUCUUUAACUUUGUAAGAUGAACUUUUCACUCGUAUAACAAACUAAAUUAUUUGUAUAUCGCUAUUGAUCUUUCCUUCUGUAUAUCGUAACUGAUUGUUUCGUGUAUAUCAUUAUUUUUCCAUUUUUAUCGUGUCAUCGCGUUCGUGUACACGAUGAUUACCUUGACACGAUAACAGCAAGCCAGAAAACAAUGAGUUCUCAGAAAUAGUAUUUGAAAGAACGUAGCGGGGUGGCCAGCUCUAUUACCGGUACUUUAUUAGCCUAGCUGGAAACCACGUGGGCUGAAACAGCGCUAGAUUUUUCUAACGUUCGAUGCUAAACGACCGUGCCAGAAGUCGAAUGUUAUGGUGAAAUGACAUUUUCGCGCAAAACUUUACGUAUUGUUGGUUACAACCAAGACUUCCGGUAUAACAAUGUUAUUGUAAUUCAUACUUCAAUCAAUAUGAAAAAAACUUCCUAUAAAAUCGAAUACAUAUGAUACUGCAUACGAUACUGUGACACUAUCGUAAAAUGAUAAUACGUAUCAUAAAGACUUCCAUUCUUCAUACUUUGCUAUGAUAAAUAUUACACUAACCUAGAAACGCAAAUCGAAAGCUCGUACUCGAUAAUUCCUUAAGUUCUGUUACUCCAUAUUUAUUUUAAGAAGGAGGAAGGAUAAAAAGCGCAAAAAGAGAAAUUCGACGCGUCUCUCAAAUUGUCCUGCGGUUUUCAGGCUAUUUUUAACGUGACUGUCGCUUAAAAUAACUCCUCUCCCUUUACAAAUAUUCCCACCUUUUUCCUUCCGAGAUUAGAGACACAAUGAGAUAUUUGUAAACUCGAGUAUUACGAAGGAGAUUGUUGGAUAAACUUUAAAUAAACAAAGAAUGAUACAGAUUAAUUUCUACAAUUUUAUUUAUUAUAUACAUCCUGCUGAUAAGUCAAAUUUAUUCACCUCGUAAAUUGUUUGACAACGUUAUUAUUAAGUUGCAAAAAUAUUACUUGUUAUCUGUAUAAUUCAAGAAGAAGACAUUAAGUUAUCGUUUAUUACAAGAUUCUAGAAUACCAAAUCAUUUUGAGAACCAAUUCGUUGUCUUAAUAAAUUAAUGUAAUUAUGAAAAAUAAAACGCAUUAUAUUUCUACACCAAAAUAUUCGAAGAAAGCAAUUUAUUUCAAGCAAUCGGCCUCAACGGAUCUUUGGCAACGAUCUCCAAAACGAUUCAGGAAAUGUCAGUUGGAAGCAACGAGAUUAAAGCGCGAUUUCACGAAGACUCGAGUUUAUCGAGGGUGAAGCGUUAGAAUCGCGCCGUUUUCGAGGCAUCCGGCCACCUGCGGAGCCUCAUCGCGAGCGUGGGCUGCCUAGUGCAAGAGGAAGGGGCGUUGAGAGCGAAACUCUCGAGAACGAGCACACGUCGACGCAUAUGGUGCCACAGUAACGACGAUGAGUACUACAUAUGCACACAGGACUUUUCUCGGGGAAACUAGUACAACAAAAAACUGUGAAGAUGAUUAAACAAAAGAAAUGUUGGUCUGAUUUGGUUAUUUCUAACAGACUCAAAAGAAUCAGGGAGACAAGCACGCACACUGACAGGAAGUGUCAUAUGUGCAAACAAGACCAUAUAGCAGUGAUCCUCAACUUGUUUCAUUUCGUGACACACAUAAACCAAUCACGGUAGAGAAACAAAGAUUUCUUGGAUCGGUGACUGAAAUUUGGAGAUUUCUCGGAUCAUUGAAUCAGGAAUUUCUAUUAUUACAAAUUUCUCCAAUCUUCGAUUCCGAGAGACAAGGACUCCCUUAAUUUACCAUACGAAGUUCAAGGUUUCCCAAAAUUCUAACAGAGAGUGUUAGAGAUUUUUUGAAGAUCUGUCAAACUUCUUCCAACUUCUCAAAUGAAGGAUUAGAAAUUUCUUGAAUGGACGAUUGGAAAUUACAGAUCUCUCGGACUUCGUGCGAAGGGUCAGAGACUUCUCGAAUGGUCGAUCGAAAAUUACAGAUCUCUUAAACUUGGAAACGAGGAUUACAGGUGUCUUGUAUCCUGAAUGGAAAAUACAAUUCUUUCGAAUUUCUGAUCGAGUAAUUAGAUAUCUUGGAAAUUUGUAAUCGGGAUUUGGCGUAUGGUUCAGCGCGCGGCAUGCCGUUUAGCACUUCCGGUCGCGGUAUUUGGCGGGACGCGGCCCUAUAUAUGGCUCGCGUCCGUCACGCCGAGACGGAUACGACGCACGCAAUUUUCUAGGUCGACACGACGCAGCAGGGAAGGUCAGGAUUGGUUCAAGUCCAAGCGAGUGGUCGUCGCGCGGCCGUCGACGGCUACGCGUUCGCCUCGUCGCUAGUCGAUCUAUAAUUAGCGAAUUUCCGCGGACCGUUCACUGGAAAGAGAUCGAACAACGCUUCUCUUCUUCGUUCAUCGUCUCUUCCGAUCGACAUAUCGCUUCGAGUACCCUAAUAACACGAGGAGAAGAUGAAUCUUUAACACUCUGCUUUUUAACGCAGGCUUCAAUCGUCAUUCAUAAACGAUCUGUAACUAUUAGCGUGGAUUAUGGAUAGUGCAAUGCUUCUUAAACGUUCUUCAUUCGCGAGCCCAUCUUGCCUGUAAAAAUUGUACGCUACUUCAGUUGUAUAUGUAAAAAGCUACGUAUAAUAAAUGAAACAUCAAACGAUGA